AUUGAACGCUGGCGGCAGGCCUAACACAUGCCAGUCGAGCGGAUGAAGGGAGCUUGCUCCUGGAUUCAGCGGCGGACGGGUGAGUAAUGCCUAGGAAUCUGCCUGGUAGUGGGGGAUAACGUCCGGAAACGGGCGCUAAUACCGCAUACGUCCUGAGGGAGAGAGUGGGGGUUCUUCGGACCUCACGCUAUCAGAUGAGCCUAGGUCGGAUUAGCUAGUUGGUGGGGUAAAGGCCUACCAAGGCGACGAUCCGUAACUGGUCUGAGAGGAUGAUCAGUCACACUGGAACUGAGACACGGUCCUGACUCCUACGGGCGGCAGCAGUGGGGAAGAUUGGACAAUGGGCGAAAGCCUGAUCCAGCCAUGCCGCGUGUGUGAAGAAGGUCUUCGGAUUGUAAAGCACUUUACGUUUGGAGGAAGGGCAGUAAGUUAAUACCUUGCUGUUUUGACGUUACCAACAGAAUAAGCACCGGCUAACUUCGUG
rnacentral:rRNA from 1 species